rnacentral:misc_RNA from 1 species
GCGGCAUAUAUUGGGUCUGGAAUGAUGAGAGGCAACUUGUCAAUGUACAUGAACAAUCUCUUCAAAUUUUCCCUUGUUAUUGAUGACAAGUCAACAAUCUCAUUUUUGCAGGUAUAGAUCCACAGGUCGCCUGAGUUAACUCUCUUAAUGCUGUCCCGGCAGAAAGGGCAAGACUGAGACCUUGCUCGCCAAUUCCGAUAGCACUUCAUACACAUUGAAUGACUGCAUUUGGGCAACACAACUUUGGUGUUCAUCUCCAUGCAAAUUCCACAUUCUUCAUCUCUCUCUAGAUCAAUUUCAGAGAGCUUCCCUCUAUCCAUCUCAUCUUUCCUUUUGUACUUUGCACAAAUCUCUUUUUGUUUCCUCUCUUC